rnacentral:tRNA from 1 species
AGGAAGUUAGUCUAACCCAAGACAGCUGGUUUCGGCCCAGCAGAUUAUAGCGCAGCCCUAUGACUUCCUC